rnacentral:ncRNA from 1 species
ACGAGGAAGGGCAUAGCAAGCGACGAAAUGCUUCGGGGAGUUGAAAAUAAGCAUAGAUCCGGAGAUUCCCAAAUAGGUCAACCUUUUAAACUGCCUGCUGAAUCCAUGAGCAGGCAAGAGACAACCUGGAGAACUGAAACAUCUUAGUAGCCAGAGGAAAAGAAAGCAAAAGC